rnacentral:tRNA from 1 species
AGGAUAAUAGUUAAUUAUAACAUUUGAUUUGCAUUCAAAAGGUAUUGCACGGCAAUUUAUCUUA